rnacentral:rRNA from 1 species
GACGAACGCGGCGGCGUGCCUAAUACAUGCAAGUAGAACGCUGAAGGAGGAGCUUGCUUCUCGGGAUGAGUUGCGAACGGGUGAGUAACGCGUAGGUAACCUGCCUGGUAGCGGGGGAUAACUAUUGGAAACGAUAGCUAAUACCGCAUAAGAGUAGAUGUUGCAUGACAUUUACUUAAAAGGUGCAAUUGCAUCACUACCAGAUGGACCUGCGUUGUAUUAGCUAGUUGGUGGGGUAACGGCUCACCAAGGCGACGAUACAUAGCCGACCUGAGAGGGUGAUCGGCCACACUGGGACUGAGACACGGCCCAGACUCCUACGGGAGGCAGCAGUAGGGAAUCUUCGGCAAUGGACGGAAGUCUGACCGAGCAACGCCGCGUGAGUGAAGAAGGUUUUCGGAUCGUAAAGCUCUGUUGUAAGAGAAGAACGAGUGUGAGAGUGGAAAGUUCACACUGUGACGGUAUCUUACCAGAAAGGGACGGCUAACUACGUGCCAGCAGCCGCGGUAAUACGUAGGUCCCGAGCGUUGUCCGGAUUUAUUGGGCGUAAAGCGAGCGCAGGCGGUUAGAUAAGUCUGAAGUUAAAGGCUGUGGCUUAACCAUAGUACGCUUUGGAAACUGUUUAACUUGAGUGCAAGAGGGGAGAGUGGAAUUCCAUGUGUAGCGGUGAAAUGCGUAGAUAUAUGGAGGAACACCGGUGGCGAAAGCGGCUCUCUGGCUUGUAACUGACGCUGAGGCUCGAAAGCGUGGGGAGCAAACAGG